GAUGAAGAACGCAGCGAAAUGCGAUACGUAGUGUGAAUUGCAGAAUUCAGUGAAUCAUCGAAUCUUUGAACGCACAUUGCACCUCUCGGUAUUCCGGGAGGUAUGCCUGUUCGAGCGUCAUUUGUACCCUCAAGCUCUGCUUGGUGUUGGGUGUUUGUUCCGCCUCUGUGUGUGAACUCGCCUCAAAACAAUUGGCAGCCGGCGUACUUGUUUCGGAGCGCAGCACAUUUUGCGAUCCAGAUCAACGUACAGCGGCAUCCAAGAAGCCUUAUUUAACGCUCUUGACCUCGGAUCAGGUAGGGAUACCCGCUGAACUUAAGCAUAUCAAUAAGCGGAA
rnacentral:misc_RNA from 1 species